GGUGGAUCAGUGGUAGAGCGCUUGCCUUGAAUGCAUGAGGCCCUGGGUUCAAUUCCUCAGCACCA
rnacentral:tRNA from 1 species